rnacentral:tRNA from 2 species
GGCGAGGUAGCAAAGAGGAUAUGCUGUGGUCUGCAAAACCGCACACGCAGGUUCGAUUCCUGCCCUCGCCU